rnacentral:rRNA from 1 species
GACGAACGCUGGCGGCGUGCCUAAUACAUGCAAGUCGAGCGAAGUUUUUCUGGUGCUUGCCCUAGAAAAACUUAGCGGCGCACGGGUGAGUGACACGUAAAGAACCUGCCUCAUAGACUGGGACAACUAUUGGAAACGAUAGCUAAUACCGGAUAACAGUAUUUCUCGCAUGAGAGAUAUUUAUAAGUUGGUUAUGCUAACACUAUGCGAUGGCUUUGCGGUGCAUUAGCUAGUUGGUGGGGUAAAGGCCCACCAAGGCGACGAUCCAUAGCCGACCUGAGAGGGUGAUCGGCCACACUGGGACUGAGACACGGCCCAGACUCCUACGGGAGGCAGCAGUAGGGAAUCUUCCGCAAUGGGCGAAAGCCUGACGGAGCAACGCCGCGUGAGUGAAGAAGGAUUUCGGUUCGUAAAGCUCUGUUGUUAGGGAAGAAUGGAUAUGUAGUAACUAUACAUGUAAGAGACGGUACCUAACCAGAAAGCCACGGCUAACUACGUG